rnacentral:rRNA from 1 species
AUACGUAGGUGACAAGCGUUAUCCGGAUUUACUGGGUGUAAAGGGCGUGUAGGCGGUUUGGCAAGUCAGAAGUGAAAUUCCCGGGCUUAACUUGGGCGCUGCUUCUGGAACUGCUUAACUUGAGUGCUGGAGAGGAUAGUGGAAUUCCUAGUGUAGCGGUAAAAUGCGCAGAUAUUAGGAGGAACACCGGUGGCGAAGGCGGCUAUCUGGACAGUAACUGACGCUGAGGCGCGAAAGCACGGGGAGCAAACAGGAUUAGAUACCCUGGUAGUCCGUGCCGUAAACGAUGAAUACUAGGUGUAGGGGGUAUCGACUCCCUCUGUGCCGCAGUUAACACAUUAAGUAUUCCACCUGGGGAGUACGGCCGCAAGGUUGAAACUCAAAGGAAUUGACGGGG